rnacentral:lncRNA from 1 species
AAGAGAUAUGACAUCAGCUUUAACCUAAUUGUUUCCAAUUUGGUGCUCCCCUGUUAUCCAUUGCUCGAAACAAAUAGCGGCUAGGGUUUUUCUUCUUCUUUUGUUAUAAAUCCUUUCUCAUAGAGUCCCCUUUCCAUGAAGUUCCCAAUCUUUUCCACUCUACUCCUGUUUUCCUUUCUAAGCAGAUGGAGAUCUGAAUUUGUCAUUCUUUAAGCGUCUCUUGUCGUGAAGGUUGAGUGCUUCCUUGAUCUAAUUCAGAUAAAUCACGUUAGGAUUUUUCUAUUAUAGUUCGAGAAAGCAUUCAAAUUCACGACAAGUGACCACACAAGAAUAUGUCAAUCGAAUUACUUACGCCACUUUCAUGAGGGGUUGUCAACAUAGCCAGAUCACAGUCUAUUCAAAGGUAGAGUUGCAGACGACGGUUAGUAUUCUGAAAUGGUUUUCAAAGGAAUUUUUCAUAAUCUUUUGAUCUAUAAUACUCUAGUUUAUGGCUUUUUCAUUGCUGAUAAUUUACUAAAAGCUAUUGGUUUUGUAAAUGAAAUGAUAUUGAAUCGUCACGGACCGACAAAGUUCCGGCAGGGGACUUAAUGUCGGAUCUGGUGUGAAUAGCAUGUCGAUAGCCGGAAUGUUAUCGAUCCGGAAGGUUAAUCUUAAUUUGGGAUUGGGCUUUCACUGAUCCAUCCGUACAGCAACUAUCCCUAUUCGGAGAGGAAGAAAGGGAACAGAGGUUAACUUUUCUGAUAGGACUUGUACUUUUUAAUCUCUUUGCUAGAUUUGGCUGUCAUAUGAUGUUUCAACAUAUUUCUAAACUUUAUAUUUUAGAAAUUGUUUCAAAUUUUAAACUUUAAGAAAUUGGUCGGAUUUCAGUGAUGUAGUUUACUUGAUUAUAAAUAUUAUAAUAAUCUAAUUUGAUUAUUUCUAUUUCUUGAAUAUAGGAGGAAUAAAGUUGCUUCCUUUCCUUGCAUAAUAUAUUCAUGAUUUUGAUCUAACUUUCUAAUGUUCCUCCUUUUGCAAAAGAAAGAGAGAAUAGUUGUAGUAUCAAUCACCUUAAUUCUUCUUUUAUAGCAUUGGAUCUUGUUUUUUAUGUUUUAAAGAUGUCAAAUUGAUGUAUAUUGUCUAUAUUCUCAUCUUUAAGGCUGUGUUCAUUUCUGCGGAAAAUAGUGUUCAUGCGAUUUUAAGAACGAUGAAUUGAAAUGUUAACCGUGUUCGUUUAUGUUAAUUGUCGAACAAAUGAAAGCGAGUAAAAGCGGGAUUAUGAGAAAUCUCAUAUAUGUCCAUAUUACACUCAUGUUGUCAGAAUUCAUAAUUUCCUGUGAAACAAAGUUUCCAUAUAAUAUAAUGUGAUUUUCAUCUUUUAUAAUAAUAAUAAUUAUAAUAAUAAUUAUAAUAAUAAUAAUAAUAAUAAUUAUAAUAAUAAUAAUAAUAAUAACUAGGGGUAUUUUGGUAAUCUUUAAUUUAUAUCAAUUAAACAAAUUUUUUAAAACUGUCACAUCAAUCAAAUCCACUCUCAAUUACAUUCAAAUCCAUUCAAGUAAACACAAAAAAAAUUACCCUCAAAUCCUCUCAAAUCCAUUCAAUCACUCUCCCCCAAAUCAUCUCCCUCACUCAAGUGAACACACCCUAAUGGAAAUGUAAAAUAUUUUUCAUAAGUCUUUAAAGUUAUUGUUUUGAUUUGAAUUAAAUAUAGUUUUAGUUAAUGAAAUUUUAUAUGAAAUUGAAAUUUCUUUAUAUUUUAAAUUUUGAUAGUUUAUUAUUCAAACUUGAAAAAUGAAAAUAUAUACUUUUUCUAAUUGAAAUCAGUUAAAUUUUUUGACUUGUCAACUACUUUGUUUUUUUGGUUGUUUUAUCGUUUUAUUGUUUUGCUUGAUUAAGAAGAAGUUUAAAUAAAUUAACGUGAUUAGAUUGAAAUAUGUACAUAUUCAUUUUCAAAAGUUAGGUAUAAAAAUGUAUUAAAAUUUGGAAUAAAUCAAUUUUGUAUCGAAGUUAACAAACAAAAAAUAUUUAUCCUAUUUUCAUUUUCUAUAUAUAUGUUAAUCCCAUUUGGAAUAUUAAUAGCUAAAUAUUUAAUUAAAUUUAGAUUCAAUGUAUUAUAUUGAUAUCAAAAUGUAAUGUUGAUAAUAAUGAGUUGAAUAUUUAAAUAACUCAAAUAAAAUAAAAUUACUUGAAAUAAUUAAUUUAUAGACUUAUAAAUGUUCGAUUAAUCAAGACUUACUGUUAUUUAGUGGUUAUAAUUAUCACCUGAACACGAGAUAAAUAUUAUAACUGUGAAAUAAUUUACAUAACAAUUCCUCCAAUCUUUUUAAUGACUAAAUUUUGUAGUUAUUCUAUGAAUAUGCUAAUGAAAUAUUGAUUUUUAUUAUUAUAUAAAUAAUUAUUUAUGAAAUUAAAAAUAUUAAAUACAUUUCGUAAUUCAAAUUAGAAUCAUUAAAUAAAAUGAGACGAAUUCAGUAUUACUCUGUUAUUAUGAAUUUAUUAAUUAAAUCCUUAUUUUAUAAAUCAAAGAUAAUUUUUAUAUGAUCUUUUCUUUAACAUCAUUAAAGAAAAAGUUAUGAUAAAAGAUGUAUAUUAUUAUUUUUUAAUAGUACUAUUAUGAUUAUUAAUUAUACUAUUAUUUCAUUAUCAAAAUAUAAAUUUGUUUAUAUUAUUAUUAAUUGUAAUAUUUAAUCUUAUUAAUUUUUUGUAUUAUUGUUAUAUCAUAUAUAGACUUUUUCUAUUUUAUCUAUCUAUAUAUACAAGGAAGGAAAAUUUAAAAGGGAAAAAAUAUGACAUCAGAUUUGACCUAAUUUUUUGGGUACACCUCUGUUAUCCAUUGCUGGAAACAGAUAGCGGCUAGGGUUUGUCUCUGUUGUUGCAUUCUAUUUUCUUCUUCUGUGGAAAAUCCUUUCAAACUGAGUCCCCUUUCCAUUAUGCUCACAAUCUUCUCCACGCUACUUCUAUGUUCCUGGAGAUGAAGGGAAUUAGCCCUGCAUUUGUCAUUCUUAAAGCAUCACUUUGUCAUGAAGGUUGAGUGCUUUCUUGACCUAAUUCAGAUAAAUCACGUUAGGAUUUUUGUAUUACUUCAAGAAAGCAUUCAACAUUCAUGAGAAGUGAUUCCAGAAGGAUAUAUAUAUCAACCGAAUUGCUUACGCUACUUUCAUAAAGGGUUGUCAACAAAGCCUGAUCACACUCUAGUCAAAGGUAGAGUUGCAAAGGAGGGUUAUGGUUUGUAUUCUGAAAUUAUUUCUAAGAGAAUUUUUCAUAACCUUUUGAUCUAUGAUACUCUACUUUAUGGCUUUUUCAUUGCUGAUAAUUUACAGGAAAUGCAGAGGAGUAUGGUUUCAGAGAUAGUGAUGCAUAAUUGAAAUCAACAACCAGAUAGCUGAUCUGUAUGGUAGUAAUGUUUUUAAUGUAUUGCUGUGUUUUACAUCUAUUACCAUAGAACUUGUUGUAGGUUAAAUGACAAGAUCUAUGUUAUUUUUCGCUCUGCAUAAUUGUUUGGGAUGGUGAUAACUUUUUUGACAACGGGACAUGUGUCAUCAUUUUAUUGGUCUAUUUGAAUUUACAUUUGAAAAAUAUUUAAAAUGAAUCAAUCAUAAACUAUAACAUAUGCAUUAUAAAAAAGUGUUGUUAAAAGAAGUUUUUCCAAUUGUUUGUGUUACUUCAAGUACUUGGUUUAUGUUUUUAACGUAGUUUCCACUUUUUUUCAAACCACAGUUUCAAAAGUAGAGAGAUAGCUACAAGAACAAAGAUAUUGAAAUAUAUUUGGAGCAUGGAAACUACAACUAAUCAUUAACAUCACAUUCAAAUGGAAGAGGAUGCAUAUAUAACUUUGCAAAAUGUUUCUUUAACCAUUUUUUUGCCAUUAAAUUUUUC